UGAAUAAAGAUCUGAUGGCUGAGUUAAUAAAUUUCUUAAUUCAAGGCGUGGAAUGUCCUCACACCUACCAGGAUAUAUAUUUUUAUGCCAUAUUUAGAAGAUUUAUUUGGCAUAUAUUGCAGAAGGCUACAACCAUGAAACAAUCAGGUCUUUUUGUCAUCAAGACACAGGCAAUUUUGAAGGAAACCACAUCUCUUGAGUGUCAUUAUUGUUCUAAAAAUCUCAACAAUACAUCUAUCAUGUCUCCAUAAAUCCUUUAGAUUCUGAUGAUUAAAAUGAUAAAGUCUAGCUAUGAAAGCUUUUAGUUCAGAUAGUGCGGUGUCUUGAUAGGUAUAUUUCUGAGUAUUACGAUUGGUGCAUAUAGAACAUUUUACUUGUACUUCAUUAUUAGUAUAUUUCACAACAUCUUGUAGCAUAUAGUCCAUUACAAUUUCC
rnacentral:lncRNA from 1 species